AGAGUUUGAUCCUGGCUCAGAACGAACGCUGGCGGUAUGCUUAACACAUGCAAGUCGAACGAGAAAGUUUCUUCGGAAACGAGUAAAGUGGCGGACGGGUGAAUAAUGCAUAGGAAUCUGCCCAAUAGUGAGGGACAAGCACUGGAAACGGUGUCUAAUACCACAUAAUAUCCUUCCUUUAAAUGAAAUUUUUUUAAGUUUUAUUUAAAGGAAGGAGAAAGGCUUAGUUCUUCGGAAUUAAGUCGCUAUUGGAUGAGCUUAUGUCGGAUUAGCUUGUUGGUAGGGUAAAGGCCUACCAAGGCGAUGAUCCGUAGCUGAUCUGAGAGGGUGAUCAGCCACACUGGAACUGCGACACGGUCCAGACUCCUACGGGAGGCAGCAGUGGGGAAUAUUGGACAAUGGGCGAAAGCCUGAUCCAGCAAUACCGCGUGAAUGAUGAAGGCCUUAGGGUUGUAAAAUUCUUUCAGUAGGGAAGAUAAUGACGGUACCUAAAGAAGAAGCACCGGCUAACUCCGUGCCAGCAGCCGCGGUAAUACGGAGGGUGCUAGCGUUGUUCGGAAUUAUUGGGCGUAAAGAGUACGUAGGCGGCUUUGUAAGUUAGUUGUGAAAUCCCAGGGCUCAACCCUGGAACUGCAAUUAAAACUACAUGGCUAGAGUAUGAUAGAGGGUGGCGGAAUUCCUAGUGUAGGGGUGAAAUCCGUAGAUAUUAGGAGGAACACCAGCAGUGCAGACGGCUAUCUUGAUCAUUACUGACGCUAAGGUACGAAGGUGUGGGGAGCAAACAGGAUUAGAUACCCUGGUAGUCCACACAGUAAACGAUGAGCACUAAGUGUCUGAAUUUUAGAUUUGGGUGCUGUAGCUAACGCGUUAAGUGCUCCGCCUGGGGAUUACGGCCGCAAGGCUAAAACUCAAAGGAAUUGACGGGGACCCGCACAAGCGGUGGAACAUGUGGUUUAAUUCGAUGCUACGCGAAGAACCUUACCAGCUCUUGACAUUUUGGUUAUCGAAAACGGAGACGUUUUUUUCAGUUCGGCUGGACCAAAACAGGUGUUGCAUGGCUGUCGUCAGCUCGUGCCGUGAGGUGUUAGGUUAAGUCCUUUAACGAGCGCAACCCCCAUCCUUAUUUGCCAUCGGGUAAUGCCGGGAACUAUAAGGAAACUGCCAGUGAUAAAUUGGAGGAAGGUGGGGAUGAUGUCAAGUCAUCAUGGCCCUUAUGGGCUGGGCCACACACAUGUUACAAUGGGAGUUACAAUGAGAUGCAAAAGGGUGACCUGGAGCAAAUCUAUAAAAGCUCUCUCAGUUCAGAUUGUAGGCUGCAACUCGCCUACAUGAAGUUGGAAUCGCUAGUAAUCGUAGAUCAGCACGCUACGGUGAAUACGUUCUCGGGUCUUGUACACACUGCCCGUCAAGCCAUGGAAGUUCUUUUUGCCUGAAUUAGGUGAGCUAACCCGCAAGGGAGGCAUCCUAACACGGUAGGGGGAGUGACUGGGGUUAAGUCGUAACAAGGUA
rnacentral:rRNA from 2 species